rnacentral:rRNA from 1 species
AUGUCUAAGAUAGCCAUGCACGUCUAAGUACAAACUAAAUGAUGGUGAAACUGCAAAUGGGCUCAUUACAACGGUUAUGAUGUACCCGGGAGUUCCGAUGGAUAUUUCCAGUAACACUAGAACUAAUACAUGUCCCUGCGUUUAUUAGUUUCGCACAGUCCGUCGCUGAGUCAUGGUAAACAGUUGAUCGACUCGACGUCCCGGAACAGUUUCCGCCCCAUCAGCUUCGAUGGUUGGGUAUUGGCCUACCAUUGCAACAACGGGUAACGAGGAAUUAGGGUUUGAUUUCGGAGAGGGAGCCUGAGAAACGGCUACCACAUCUACGGAUGGCAGCAGGCGCGCAAAUUACCCAAUGCAGACACUGUGAGGUAGUGACGAGAAAUAAUAAAGCGGGACUUCUGUUUCGCUAUUAUAAUGAGGAAUAACCAAAGGUCAUUCCGAUUAGCAACUGAUGGGAAAGUCUGGUGCCAGCAGCCGCGGUAAUACCAGCGUCAGUAGCA